UUUGAGGCAUUUUUGUAUUAGUCAUGUGUUUUCUUGAUUUUUUUAUUUUUGGAUAUUUUGGGGAUUACGUAAUAUUCGGAAAAUUCGGAUGGUAACGAAAAGAAGUAAUAUUUUGUUCUGUUAUUCGUCAUGAUAUUCUAAGGUCAUUUGUGCAAGUCGAAAUUUUUAUAAGGCAUGUUUUGCAUUGUUUAUCCGAGUUAUUUACUUCUUGGCCAUUUUUGGGCAUUUACGUAACAUUUUGCCAUUUUCGGGCAGGUCAUAUGAAAAAUUGGCAGAUGCAUCUGGAAAAGUAACACAAGAUGCUAAAGGUAUACAAGAGGAGAUAGUAAGUUUUACAAAGGCCUAUUGGAUGCAAUGACAAAGCAAUUAACCUCGGUCGAGCCUCAUAUCAUGGAAUUGGAAACAACUUUGAAUAGAGGACAACAAUUACUAUUGAUUGACAAGGUUAUAUCAGAAGAUGUGUGCAGUGCUUUGUUGACUAUUCCGGUCAACAAAGUCCCAUGAAGGUGAUAAUUUUAAUGCUCUAUUUUAUAAGAAAACAUGGUCUAUAAAGGGUAAGGAGAUCACUCAAUUUGUGUUACAUUUCUUUGAUACUGGAGUAAUGUGUGAAGCUAUAAACUGUGCUUUUAUCACUCUUAUUCCAAAGACUAAGCAUGCUAAAUCAGUGUAAGAGUAUAGGACAAUAUUAUGUUGCAUCAUAGUA